rnacentral:tRNA from 1 species
UCCCUGGUGGCUCAGAUGGUAAAGCAUCUGUCUGCAAUGCAGGAAAUCCAGGUUCAGUUCCUGGGUUGGGAA